rnacentral:rRNA from 1 species
CGUACACUCCUGCGGGAGGCAGCAGUGGGGAAUAUUGGACAAUGGGCGCAAGCCUGAUCCAGCCAUGCCGCGUGAGUGAUGAAGGCCCUAGGGUUGUAAAGCUCUUUCACCGGUGAAGAUAAUGACGGUAACCGGAGAAGAAGCCCCGGCUAACUUCGUGCCAGCAGCCGCGGUAAUACGAAGGGGGCUAGCGUUGUUCGGAUUUACUGGGCGUAAAGCGCACGUAGGCGGACUAUUAAGUCAGGGGUGAAAUCCCGGGGCUCAACCCCGGAACUGCCUUUGAUACUGGUAGUCUUGAGUUCGAGAGAGGUGAGUGGAAUUCCGAGUGUAGAGGUGAAAUUCGUAGAUAUUCGGAGGAACACCAGUGGCGAAGGCGGCUCACUGGCUCGAUACUGACGCUGAGGUGCGAAAGCGUGGGGAGCAAACAGGAUUAGAAACCCCUGUAGUCC